rnacentral:rRNA from 1 species
GGAAUAUUGCGCAAUGGGGGGAACCCUGACGCAGCAACGCCGCGUGAAGGAGGAAGUAUUUCGGUAUGUAAACUUCUAUCAGCAGGGAAGAAGGAAGUGACGGUACCUGCAUAAGAAGCCCCGGCUAAUUACGUGCCAGCAGCCGCGGUAAUACGUAAGGGGCAAGCGUUAUCCGGAUUUACUGGGUGUAAAGGGUGAGUAGGCGGUUCGGCAAGUCAUAUGUGAAAUACCUGGGCUCAACCCAGGAACCGCAUAAGAAACUGUCGGACUUGAGUACAGGAGAGGUAAGCGGAAUUCCCAGUGUAGCGGUGAAAUGCGUAGAUAUUGGGAAGAACACCGGUGGCGAAGGCGGCUUACUGGACUGAAACUGACGCUGAGUCACGAAAGCGUGGGGAGCGAACAGGA